rnacentral:rRNA from 1 species
CCGCACUCGCUUCGCAAAGGCUUCGCCUCCCUUGCCGUCCUUACUGCUUGGAGCAUUUGGAGGCACCGCAACGCCGUGCUUUUCGACCCUACCCGCCCAUCCGCCGACCUGGUGACGCAAAGCAUCCUCGACGACUCACGGACCUGGGCCUUGGCUGGGGCUAGAGGACUCGCCGCGAUCACCCAAUUCGAGCCGCCCAAGGUGCGCCUCUGCUGUGUUUUCCAGGCUGAGCAUCCCGGUCCCUUCUCAUCCUAG